rnacentral:tRNA from 1 species
GGUCUUAUAUUCAAAAAUGAUGUUAGAAUGCAAUUCUGAUGGUGUAAGUUAAUACUAAGACUU